rnacentral:tRNA from 1 species
CAGAGAAUAGUUUAAGUAAGAAUCCUAGCUUUGGGAGUUAGGGAUAGGAGUUGAAGUCUCUUUUUUCUGA